rnacentral:lncRNA from 1 species
GUUGAGGACUGCAUGCUCUCAAGUGUUUCAUUGAUGUUUGAGUUCAAACUAUUGUCAUGGAUCUAGAUGCGCAGUUCUUGCAAAGCAUCUGAAUUGCCUACAGUGAUAUCACCCAAGGCUGUUGUCUUGCUUGAUUUUUAUUAACCAAGCAGAGUUUGACUCCAUCAGCAAUUGUACAGAAGCCCUCCAGUCCCCAGACCUUGCUGUCUUAAUUAGUUUCACUGUUACAGAUGUGUGCUAGUCAUUACUGCCUUUCUGUGACUGAAGUUGGAGUUCACGUUGACAAGCCUUGUGGUGAUGUCCCUGAGAGGAUGAAUAGACUGUUUAAUGCACUCUUGUCCUGGAAUCAGCCAAACAUCAAAGGCAUCGUGUGGUUCAUUAUUAAAAAAAAAUACACUUGCACAGAAAGCCUUAGAAAUUAAUGUUAGACUUUUAGUUUGCAUAUGAGGUCGUGCUGCUCCACAGAUUACAAGGA